rnacentral:rRNA from 2 species
UUUCAGAGAUGAGAAUGUGCCUUCGGGAACCGUGAGACAGGUGCUGCAUGGCUGUCGUCAGCUCGUGUUGUGAAAUGUUGGGUUAAGUCCCGCAACGAGCGCAACCCUUAUCCUUUGUUGCCAGCGGUUAGGCCGGGAACUCAAAGGAGACUGCCAGUGAUAAACUGGAGGAAGGUGGGGAUGACGUCAAGUCAUCAUGGCCCUUACGACCAGGGCUACACACGUGCUACAAUGGCGCAUACAAAGAGAAGCGACCUCGCGAGAGCAAGCGGACCUCAUAAAGUGCGUCGUAGUCCGGAUUGGAGUCUGCAACUCGACUCCAUGAAGUCGGAAUCGCUAGUAAUCGUGGAUCAGAAUGCCACGGUGAAUACGUUCCCGGGCCUUGUACACACCGCCCGUCACACCAUGGGAGUGGGUUGCAAAAGAAGUAGGUAGCUUAACCUUCGGGAGGGCGCUUACCACUUUGUGAUUCAUGACUGGGGUGAAGUCGUAACAAGGUAACCGUAGGGGAACCUGCGGUUGGAUCACCUCCUUACCUGAAAGAAGC